rnacentral:rRNA from 1 species
ACACUCCUACGGGAGGCAGCAGUGGGGAAUUUUACGCAAUGGGGGAAACCCUGACGUAGCGACACCGCGUGAGCGAAGAAGCCCUUUGGGGUGUAAAGCUCUGUCAGCUGGAACGAAAACAAUGACGGUACCAGCAGAGGAAGCAUCGGCUAACUACGUGCCAGCAGCCGCGGUAAGACGUAGGAUGCGAGCGUUGUCCGGAUUUAUUGAGCGUAAAGAGUUCGUAGGUGGUUUGUUAAGUUUGGUGUUAAAGAUCGGGGCUCAACCCUGGGACUGCACUGAAUACUGGCAGACUCGAGUGUGGUAGAGGCUAGUGGAAUUCCCAGUGUAGCGGUGAAAUGCGUAGAUAUUGGGAAGAACACCGGUGGCGUAGGCGACUAGCUGGGCCAUAACUGACGCUGAGGAACGAAAGCCAGGGGAGCGAAUGGGAUUAGAUACCCGAGUAGUCCC